AAAAAGAACAAGGAGACAAAAUCAGAGACAAAAGAAGAGAAGAGAGCAGAGAAGGAUGAGAAGAUCUUGCCAGAGGAGAAGAACACAACUUCUGUUGCGCUUCCUUGCAUUGAUAAGCUUCGAGACGAGUUGUCUUGUGCAAUUUGUCUUGAGAUUUGUUAUGAACCAAGUACUACAACUUGUGGACACCGGUACAUCUUACUACACAACAAACACCACAGAGUUGUCAUUGUGCGGUGAAUUUGAAAUGGCAAAUACUGCACGGUUAAUACAGUUCUUUGGAACACAAUCCAGCUUAUGUUCCCCAAAGAAGUGGAAGCACAGAGAGCUGCUGCUUCUGCUAACUUCCUAACCAAGGAAACGCCAAGCCCUAGAGACUCUAAUCAGAAGGUAAGAAGCAGGAACAGAGAUACGGCGUUUCAAGCUAGGUUGCAGAGAGAGGAUAUCUCGAGGUUACUUGUGUCUGAAGAGAAAAGGAGGAGAGGCGUGAGGUUGGAUCAAGAUAGCGAUGCAGCGUUUGCGUCGCGGUUACAGCGGCAGGAAUUUGCGUCUGCGUUUGGCGGUACGGUGGCUGAGACAAUUUACACUUCUUCUUCAUCAACGGCUCUAGCCUUUCUUUUGUUGUUACCUAAACAAAUUUGAUGUACUGAUACAGGUUGCAGAGGGAUGCAUUGCCUCUUUUCAGUAUGCUAAGAGUAAAAUUUAAGUCUUGCAUAGAUAGAGAACCACUGCUUAACGAGGUAUGCAAGAUUAGUCUCUGCAUGUUUUGAUAAUUAUUAUUAUCUCCUUCCUUACUCUUGUUAUCCCUCUUCUUUCAGACGCAGAUAACAAACUCAAAGUCGUUAAAACUCCAAAUGCUGUGAAUCCCCUUGUGCUUGGUUCUUUUGUAAGUUUUUCAAUCUAAGAACUUGAAUAUAAAGUUAGUUUGUACUAUGUUUUAAGAAAAAGUUUAAGUU